rfam:Trichuris suis scaffold232.2, whole genome shotgun sequence.
AUUGGAUAUGGUGAUAUGGUGCCUAAAACCAGUAUUGGCAUGGUAAUAGGUUGCCUAUGCGCUCUAACCGGUGUACUUACGCUUGCUUUGCCUAUGCCAGUUAUCGUUAGCAAC